AAAGAAAUGGGUCCUAGACCACACACGCCACUCGGUAAAGAAUCGGGCCUAUAGCUCAGCUGGCUAGAGCACACGACUGAUAAUCGUGAGGUCAGUGGUUCGAGUCCACUUGGGCCCACCAAAUGGGGCUGUAGCUCAGCUGGGAGAGCACCUGCUUUGCAAGCAGGGGGUCACCGGUUCGAUCCCGGUCAGCUCCACCAAAGGGAAGAGGCCCGCGCGCAGCGGGUCGGACGCUGGGGUGGAGAAGUAGGCGGCAGGAAGCGGGUAACAGGUAACAGGAAGUAGAGAGUAGGAAAGUAAUUAAAGAGUCCGUAGUAGUGAGUUUCUGAAUAAAGAAGCUGAGUACUACCGAUUCGCAGUAUGGAAGCGGUAUUGUUCUUUGACAGUUGAGGAAGGGAAGGCCAUGUUUGUCAUCUUGCCGAUGGCAGACCUCCAGGUGGAUGCUUGGGGAUAUAU
rnacentral:misc_RNA from 1 species